rnacentral:rRNA from 1 species
UGCAGUCGGACGGGAUCCAUCGGAGAGCUUGCUCGAAGAUGGUGAGAGUGGCGCACGGGUGCGUAACGCGUGAGCAACCUACCUCUAUCAGGGGGAUAGCCUCUCGAAAGAGAGAUUAACACCGCAUAACAUCAACAGUUCGCAUGUUCGGUUGAUUAAAUAUUUAUAGGAUAGAGAUGGGCUCGCGUGACAUUAGCUAGUUGGUAGGGUAACGGCCUACCAAGGCGACGAUGUCUAGGGGCUCUGAGAGGAGAAUCCCCCACACUGGUACUGAGACACGGACCAGACUCCUACGGGAGGCAGCAGUAAGGAAUAUUGGUCAAUGGGCGGAAGCCUGAACCAGCCAUGCCGCGUGCAGGAUGACUGCCCUAUGGGUUGUAAACUGCUUUUGUCCAGGAAUAAACCUAAAUACGUGUAUUUAGCUGAAUGUACUGGAAGAAUAAGGAUCGGCUAACUCCGUGCCAGCAGCCGCGGUAAUACGGAGGAUCCGAGCGUUAUCCGGAUUUAUUGGGUUUAAAGGGUGCGUAGGCGGCCUAUUAAGUCAGGGGUGAAAUACGGUGGCUCAACCAUCGCAGUGCCUUUGAUACUGAUGGGCUUGAAUCCAUUUGAAGUGGGCGGAAUAAGACAAGUAGCGGUGAAAUGCAUAGAUAUGUCUUAGAACUCCGAUUGCGAAGGCAGCUCACUAAGCUGGUAUUGACGCUGAUGCACGAAAGCGUGGGGAUCGAACAGGAUUAGAUACCCUGGUAGUCCACGCC